rnacentral:sRNA from 1 species
CGAAGGCCUGCUGCGGACAGAUGUAGUGAAUGUGCGUGUCGAUGCCGCCCGCCGUGACGAUGUGCCCCUCGGCGGCAAUCACCUCGGUGGUGACGCCCACGAGCAUCCCCUUCGUGACGCCCGGCAUGAUCCGCGGGUUGCCCGCCUUGCCGAUUCCCACGAUGCGGCCACCCUUGAUGCCGAUGUCCGCCUUGUAGAUGCCCGUGUAGUCGAUGAUGAGCGCGUUGGUGAUGACGCAGUCGAGCGCCUCGGCGUCCCCGAUGCCCUCCAUCUGCCCCUGCCGGUCG